rnacentral:miRNA from 1 species
UAUAUGUGUGUGUAUGUGUGUGUGUGUGUGUGUGUAUGUAUGUAUACACACACAUACAUACACUUAUACAUAUAUCAA